rnacentral:rRNA from 1 species
GUGAACGCUGGCGGUAGGCCUAACACAUGCAAGUCGAACGGCAGCACAGGAGAGCUUGCUCUCUAGGUAGCGAGUGGCGGACGGGUGAGGAAUACAUCGGAAUCUGCCCAGUCGUGGGGGAUAACGUAGGGAAACUUACGCUAAUACCGCAUACGACCUUCGGGUGAAAGAGGGGGAUCGCAAGACCUCUCGCGAUUGGAUGAGCCGAUGUCGGAUUAGCUAGUUAGCGGGGUAAUGGCCCACCAAGGCGACGAUCCGUAGCUGGUCUGAGAGGAUGAUCAGCCACACUGGAACUGAGACACGGUCCAGACUCCUACGGGAGGCAGCAGUGGGGAAUAUUGGACAAUGGGCGCAAGCCUGAUCCAGCCAUACCGCGUGGGUGAAGAAGGCCUUCGGGUUGUAAAGCCCUUUUGUUGGGAAAGAAAUCUUUCAGGCUAAUACCCUGGGAGGAUGACGGUACCCAAAGAAUAAGCACCGGCUAACUUCGUG